CCCUUAGAGUUUGAUCCUGGCUCAGGAUGAACGCUAGCUACAGGCUUAACACAUGCAAGUCGAGGGGCAGCAUGGUCUUAGCUUGCUAAGGCCGAUGGCGACCGGCGCACGGGUGAGUAACACGUAUCCAACCUGCCGCCUACUCUUGGACAGCCUUCUGAAAGGAAGAUUAAUACAAGAUGGCAUCAUGAGUCCGCAUGUUCACAUGAUUAAAGGUAUUCCGGUAGACGAUGGGGAUGCGUUCCAUUAGAUAGUAGGCGGGGUAACGGCCCACCUAGUCUUCGAUGGAUAGGGGUUCUGAGAGGAAGGUCCCCCACAUUGGAACUGAGACACGGUCCAAACUCCUACGGGAGGCAGCAGUGAGGAAUAUUGGUCAAUGGGCGAGAGCCUGAACCAGCCAAGUAGCGUGAAGGAUGACUGCCCUAUGGGUUGUAAACUUCUUUUAUAAAGGAAUAAAGUCGGGUAUGGAUACCCGUAACAUUACUUAUAAUAGAUG
rnacentral:rRNA from 1 species